UAAUUGAAAUGAAGAAUAAACUAUAAAUAAAAUUUGAAAUGAAGAAUAAACUAAUACAAAGAUGCUUAAGAUGUCUACCAAUCAAGGUCAGUAUUAAUAUAAUAACCAUUAAAUGUUAUCUAUUAUUGACGAAGCUGACAAAGUUGGGGCGUGAUGAGAAAAAUACAGCCCUUCAAAGAUAAUUCCCAUUGGAGGGAAAAGUGCACAAAUCAAUAAACCUGGCAUCCUGUCGUCCCGUCUCCGCUGGCUCCCAGGAAAUGUGCAGCACAUUGCUGUGGU